rnacentral:rRNA from 1 species
CCUACGGGAGGCAGCAGUGGGGAAUAUUGGACAAUGGGGGGAACCCUGAUCCAGCCAUGCCGCGUGUGUGAAGAAGGCCCUCGGGUUGUAAAGCACUUUCAGUGAGGAAGAACGCCUGGUGGUUAAUACCCAUCAGGAAAGACAUCACUCACAGAAGAAGCACCGGCUAACUCCGUGCCAGCAGCCGCGGUAAUACGGAGGGUGCGAGCGUUAAUCGGAAUUACUGGGCGUAAAGCGCGCGUAGGUGGCUUGAUAAGCCGGUUGUGAAAGCCCCGGGCUCAACCUGGGAACGGCAUCCGGAACUGUCAAGCUAGAGUGCAGGAGAGGAAGGUAGAAUUCCCGGUGUAGCGGUGAAAUGCGUAGAGAUCGGGAGGAAUACCAGUGGCGAAGGCGGCCUUCCGGACUGACACUGACACUGAGGUGCGAAAGCGUGGGUAGCAAACAGGAUUAGAUACCCCUGUAGUC